CCUACGGGGGGCAGCAGUAGGGAAUCUUCCACAAUGGACGAAAGUCUGAUGGAGCAACGCCGCGUGAGUGAAGAAGGGUUUCGGCUCGUAAAGCUCUGUUGGUAGUGAAGAAAGAUAGUGGUAGUAACUGGCCUUUAUUUGACGGUAAUUACUUAGAAAGUCACGGCUAACUACGUGCCAGCAGCCGCGGUAAUACGUAGGUGGCAAGCGUUGUCCGGAUUUAUUGGGCGUAAAGCGAGUGUAGGCGGUUCAAUAAGGCUGAU
rnacentral:rRNA from 1 species